rnacentral:rRNA from 1 species
UACGUAGGGGGCAAGCGUUGUUCGGAAUUACUGGGCGUAAAGGGCGCGUAGGCGGCCUUCUAAGUCGGACGUGAAAUCCCUCGGCUUAACCGAGGAACUGCGUCCGAUACUGAAAGGCUUGAAUCCGGGAGAGGGAUGUGGAAUUCCAGGUGUAGCGGUGAAAUGCGUAGAUAUCUGGAGGAACACCGGUGGCGAAGGCGGCAUCCUGGACCGGCAUUGACGCUGAGGCGCGAAAGCUAGGGGAGCAAACGGG